rnacentral:ncRNA from 2 species
UUAAAACAUCAGGAGUGGUUUCUACAUUGAGACCCACUAACCGAGCCUAAGAGCUGCGGUAGUUAUGUUCAUUAAACGGAGGAUGCGCCUUGGAAGAGGAAAAAGUGGAACCGCC